CAGUUGGUUAGAAUACCGGCCUGUCACGCCGGGGGUCGCGGGUUCGAGUCCCGUCCGCUCCG
rfam:Shewanella sp. P1-14-1 AN944_contig000009, whole genome shotgun sequence.